GACGAACGCUGGCGGCGUGCUUAACACAUGCAAGUGGAACGGUAAUGUCCUGCCUUGGUGUGGUGCUCGAGUGGCGAACGGGUGAGUAACAGGUGAGUAACCUGCCCUGUACCUUGGGCUAACUUCAGGAAACUGAGGCUAAUACAGGAUAGGAUAUCCUGCUACAUGUUGUGGCUUGGAAAGUUUGGGCGGUAGGGGCUGGACGCGCGGCUUAUCAGCUGGUUGGUGGGGUAGUGACUUACCAAGUCUUUGACGGGUAGCCGGCCUGAGAGGUGGACCGGCGACAAUGGGACUGAGAGACGGACCAGACGCCUAUGGGAGGCAGUAGUGGGGAAUAUUGCACAAUGGGCGGAAGCCUGAUGCAGAAACGCCGCGUGCGGGAUGACGGGCUGCGGGUUAUAAACCGCUUUCGCCUGUGACGAAGGGUGAGUGACGGUAAUGGGUAAAGAAGCACCGGCUAACUACGUG
rnacentral:rRNA from 1 species